AUUGAACGCUGGCGGCAGGCCUAACACAUGCAAGUCGAGCGGAUGAAGGGAGCUUGCUCCUGGAUUCAGCGGCGGACGGGUGAGUAAUGCCUAGGAAUCUGCCUGGUAUGGGGGGAUAACGUCCGGAAGCGGGCGCUAAUACCGCAUACGUCCUGAGGGAGAAAGUGGGGGAUCUUCGGACCUCACGCUAUCAGAUGAGCCUAGGUCGGAGUAGCUAGUUGGUGGGGUGAAGGCCUACCAAGGCGACCAUCCGUAACUGGUCUGAGAGGAUGAUCAGUCACACUGGAACUGAGACACGGUCCAGACUCCUACGGGAGGCAGCAGUGGGGAAUAUUGGACAAUGGGCGAAAGCCUGAUCCAGCCAUGCCGAGUGUGUGAAGAAGGUCUUCGGAUUGUAAAGCACUUUAAGUUGGGAGGAAGGGCAGUAAGUUAAUACCUUGCUGUUUUGACGUUACCAACAGAAUAAGCACCGGCUAACUUCGUG
rnacentral:rRNA from 1 species